AUUGAACGCUGGCGGCAGGCUUAACACAUGCAAGUCGAGCGAGCGGCGGACGGGUGAGUAAUGUCUGGGCAACUGCCUGCUGGCGGGGGAUAACUACUGGAAACGGUAUCUAAUACCGCAUACCAUCAGAUGUGCCCAGAUGGCAUUAGCUAGUGGUGGGGUUAAUGGCUCCCCUAGGCGACGAUCCCUCGCUGGUCUGAGAGGCUGACCAGCCACACUGGAAAUGAUAUACGGUCCAGACUCCUACGGUAGGCAGCAGUGGGGAAUAUUGCACAAUGGGCGCAAGCCUGAUGCAGCCAGGCCGCGUGUGUGAAGAAGGCCUUUGGGUUGUAAAGCACUUUCAGCGAGGAGGCGUUACUCGCAGAAGAAGCACCGGCUAACUCCGUGCCAGCAGCCGCGGUAAUUC
rnacentral:rRNA from 1 species